rnacentral:rRNA from 1 species
AGAGAGCGACGGGCGAUGUGUACACACUUCAGAGCUUAUUUCAAAAACAAAUUUUAUUCAUAAAUUACUACUAAAUCCACCUUUAUAGUAGAAUUCACAUCUACUAAUCCGUAUAAAUAUAAUUUAUUGUAACCCACUACUCCCAUAUUUAUAAGCUGCACCUUGACCUGAAGUCACAGUUAAAAACUAAUUAGACUAUAUUCUCCAAAAAUAAUCUGACAACGGCGGUAUACAGACUGAAAAACAAAAAUAUGUACAUUUAAACGUGGAUUAUCGAUCCAAGAGCAAGUUCCUCUAGUAAGAAUGAAGUACCGCCAAAUUCUUUAGGUUUAAAAAGAUUUACUACCCCGGCAACUAUUCAAAUAAAGAAUAAUAGGGUAUCUAAUCCUAGUUUUAAUCUUUAUUUAUAAAGAUAAUUUAUUUUUAACACAAUUUUUCACUUAAAAAAAUAAAAAUUUUACCCUUACUUUUUCAUACAAAAAAUAAAUAUGAAAUUUUAAUUUACUUAGUUCCACCAAACUAUUUCAUUCAAAUCCUUCGUAUAACC